AGCGAACGCUGGCGGCAGGCCUAACACAUGCAAGUCGAACGAACCUUUCGGGGUUAGUGGCGGACGGGUGAGUAACACGUGGGAACGUGCCUUUAGGUUCGGAAUAACUCAGGGAAACUUGUGCUAAUACCGAAUGUGCCCUUCGGGGGAAAGAUUUUUCGCCUUUAGAGCGGCCCGCGUCUGAUUAGCUAGUUGGUUGAGGUAAUGGCUCACCAAGGCGACGAUCAGUAGCUGGUCUGUGAGGAUGAUCAGCCACAUUGGGACUGAGACACGGCCCAAACUCCUACGGGAGGCAGCAGUAGGGAAUCUUGCGCAAUGGGCGAAAGCCUGACGCAGCCAUGCCGCGUGAAUGAUGAAGGGCUUAGGAUUGUAAAAUUCUUUCACCGGGGACGAUAAUGACGGUACCCGGAGAAGAAGCCCCGGCUAACUUCGUG
rnacentral:rRNA from 1 species